GAUGAACGCUGGCGGCGUGCCUAAUACAUGCAAGUCGAGCGAACAGACGAGGAGCUUGCUCCUCUGACGUUAGCGGCGGACGGGUGAGUAACACGUGGAUAACCUACCUAUAAGACUGGGAUAACUUCGGGAAACCGGAGCUAAUACCGGAUAAUAUAUUGAACCGCAUGGUUCAAUAGUGAAAGACGGUUUUGCUGUCACUUAUAGAUGGAUCCGCGCCGCAUUAGCUAGUUGGUAAGGUAACGGCUUACCAAGGCGACGAUGCGUAGCCGACCUGAGAGGGUGAUCAGCCACACUGGAACUGAGACACGGUCCAGACUCCUACGGGAGGCAGCAGUAGGGAGUCUUCCGCAAUGGGCGAAAGCCUGACGGAGCAACGCCGCGUGAGUGAUGAAGGUCUUCGGAUCGUAAAACUCUGUUAUUAGGGAAGAACAAAUGUGUAAGUAACUAUGCACGUCUUGACGGUACCUAAUCAGAAAGCCACGGCUAACUACGUG
rnacentral:rRNA from 1 species